rnacentral:rRNA from 1 species
GAUGAACGCUGGCGGCGUGCCUAACACAUGCAAGUCGAGCGAUUCUCUUCGGAGAAGAGCGGCGGACGGGUGAGUAACGCGUGGGUAACCUGCCCUGUACACACGGAUAACAUACCGAAAGGUAUGCUAAUACGAGAUAAUAUGCUUUUAUCGCAUGGUAGAAGUAUCAAAGCUUUUGCGGUACAGGAUGGACCCGCGUCUGAUUAGCUAGUUGGUAAGGUAACGGCUUACCAAGGCGACGAUCAGUAGCCGACCUGAGAGGGUGAUCGGCCACAUUGGAACUGAGACACGGUCCAAACUCCUACGGGAGGCAGCAGUGGGGAAUAUUGCACAAUGGGCGAAAGCCUGAUGCAGCAACGCCGCGUGAGCGAUGAAGGCCUUCGGGUCGUAAAGUUCUGCCCUCAAGGAAGAUAAUGACGGUACUUGAGGAGGAAGCCCCGGCUAACUACGUG